rnacentral:rRNA from 1 species
UACGUAGGGACCGAGCGUUGUCCGGAUUCAUUGGGCGUAAAGAGCUCGUAGGCGGCCACUCAAGUCGAAUGUGAAACCUCGAGGCUUAACCUCGAGCCUGCAUUCGAUACUGUAGAGCUUGAGACCGGAAGAGGUAAGUGGAACUGCGAGUGUAGAGGUGAAAUUCGUAGAUAUUCGCAAGAACACCAGUGGCGAAGGCGGCUUACUGGUCCGGUUCUGACGCUGAGGCGCGAAAGCGUGGGGAGCAAACAGG